rnacentral:rRNA from 1 species
ACUCAAGCUACUAAGGGCACACGGUGGAUGCCUUGGCGCCAGAGGCCGAUGAAGGACGCUGCCGGCGGCGAAAGGUCCGGGGAGCUGCCUAGCAAGCGUUGAUCCGGACGUCUCCGAAUGGGGAAACCUGGCUGGGGCGAACCCCAGUCAUCCUGUGCUGAAUCCAUAAGCACAGGAGGGCCAGUGGGGGAACUGAAACAUCUCAGUACCCCGAGGAAAAGAAAUCAACAAGGGGUCCUGCGAAGCCCAUCAGGACUUCGCGGGGUCUCGGAGAUUCCCCGAGUAGUGGCGAGCGAAAGGGGAAGAGCCCAAACCGUCGGUGUGCACAAGCCCUCAGGCGUUGCACCGGCGGGGUUGUGGGACAUGGCCGGGCCGGGCUGAGGACCGGCCGGGAAGUUACAAAUCCUGUGCCUAGCCGAACCGUCCUGGAACGGCGGGCCACAGAGGGUGAAAGCCCCGUAGGCGAAAGGUACAGGACUUCUUGGGCCAUGGACCCGAGUACCGCGGGACACGUGGAAUCCCGCGGGAAGCUGGGGGGACCACCCUCCAAGGCUAAAUACCUCUGGCGACCGAUAGUGCACGAGUACCGUGAGGGAAAGGUGAAAAGAACCCCGGGAGGGGAGUGAAAGAGAACCUGAAACCGUGUGCCUACAACCAGUCGGAGGGCUAUGCCGGCAUCCUUUUGGGUUGCCGGAAUGCCUGACGGCGUGCCUAUUGAAGAAUGAGCCGGUGAGUUACGGUGUGCAGCGAGCUUAAGGGGGCAAACCCCGGAGGCGUAGGGAAACCGAGUCUGAACAGGGCGCCGCUCCCGGAUGGGAGGUCAGGACUCCGUCCUGACAGUUGCACGCCGUAGACCCGAAACCGGGCGAGCUACCCAUGGCCAGGGUGAAGUCCCGCUAAUCCGGGAUGGAGGCCCGCACCCGUCGGUGUUGCAAAACCGUGGGAUGAGCUGUGGGUAGGGGUGAUAUGCCAAUCGAGCCCGGAGAUAGCUGGUUCUCCCCGAAAUGCAUUGAGGUGCAGCCUCGGGAAACGGGUUCCCAUGAAAAUCUCUAUGAGAUUUUCAUGGGACUGUAGCCGUGCGGAGGUAGAGCACUGGAUGGGCUAGGGGGGCAGAAGCCCUACCGAACUCAACCAAACUCCGAAUGCCGCACGCGCGGUUCCCGGGAGUGAGACUACGGGGGAUAAGCUCCGUGGUCGAGAGGGGAACAGCCCAGACCGUCGGCUAAGGUCCCUAAGCGCUGGCUAAGUGGAGAAGGAAGUGGCAUCGCGAAGACAGCCAGGAGGUUGGCUUAGAAGCAGCCAUCCUUUAAAGAGUGCGUAAUAGCUCACUGGUCGAGCGAUGCUGCGCCGAAAAUUCAACGGGGCUCAAGCCAGCCACCGAAGCCACGGGCCCACAGGAAAGUGUUCCUGCGGGCGGUAGGGGAGCGUUCCGCGAUAGGUUGAAGGCGGACCGUGAGGACCGCUGGACGAGGCGGAAGUGAGAAUGCCGGCAUGAGUAGCGAAAAGGCAGGUGAGAAUCCUGCCCGCCGUAAGCCUAAGGGUUCUUAAGGAAGGGUCGUCCGCUUAAGGUUAGGCGGGACCUAAGGCGAGGCCGAAAGGCGUAGCCGAUGGACAGCCGGUCGACAUUCCGGCCCCACCUAGACAUCGCUUGCAGCCGAGGGGGGACGCAGAAGGGUAGGCCUACCGGGUGGUGGAUGUCCCGGGCCAAGCCUGUAGGGGGGAGGGGUAGGCAAAUCCGCUCCUCCGGGUAAAACCCAACUCCGAGAGGCGAGUGCGAGCUGGGGUGAAUACCCCGGCGAAGUGGCUGAGCCCACGCUGCCAAGAAAAGCCUCGCGGUGAGAUGUCUAGGUGCCCGUACCGCAAACCGACACAGGUAGGCAGGCACUGAACGUGCCAAGGCGCGCGGGAGAACCCUCCUCAAGGAACUCGGCAAAAUGACCCCGUAACUUCGGAAGAAGGGGUGCCCCGUGUAAGGUGAGUGGUUCACGCCACGAGCCUGAGGGGGUCGCAGAGAAUAGGCCCAGCCGACUGUUUAACAAAAACACAGGUCUCUGCUAACCCGUAAGGGGAAGUAUAGGGGCUGACGCCUGCCCAGUGCCGGAAGGUUAAGGGGAUGGGUUAGUCCGCUGGCUCGUCCAGCGGGCGACGCUCGGAACCGAAGCCCCGGUGAACGGCGGCCGUAACUAUAACGGUCCUAAGGUAGCGAAAUUCCUUGUCGGGUAAGUUCCGACCUGCACGAAAGGCGUAACGAGCUGGGCGCUGUCUCGAGGAGGGACCCGGCGAAGUUGUAGUACCCGUGAAGAUACGGGUUACCCGCGGCUGGACGGAAAGACCCCGUGGAGCUUUACUGCAGCCUGCUAUUGGAUUUGGCUUUAGCAUGUAUAGGAUAGGUGGGAGGCGGAGAAGCGGGGGCGCCAGCCUCCGUGGAGCCACCCUUGGAAUACCACCCUUGUUAAAGCUAAGUCCUAACCUGUGACCUCAUCGGCCACAGGGACAGUGGCAGGUGGGCAGUUUGACUGGGGCGGUCGCCUCCUAAACGGUAACGGAGGCGCCCAAAGGUCCCCUCAGCACGGUUGGAAACCGUGCGUCGAGUGCAAGGGCAUAAGGGGGCUUGACUGUGAGGCCUACAAGCCGAGCAGAGGCGAAAGCCGGGCCUAGUGAUCCUACGGCGGCAAGUGGGAGCGCCGUGGCUUAACGGAUAAAAGCUACCCCGGGGAUAACAGGCUGAUCUCCCCCGAGAGUCCACAUCGACGGGGAGGUUUGGCACCUCGAUGUCGGCUCAUCGCAUCCUGGGGCUGCAGUAGGUCCCAAGGGUUGGGCUGUUCGCCCAUUAAAGCGGUACGUGAGCUGGGUUCAGAACGUCGUGAGACAGUUCGGUCCCUAUCCACCGCGGGCGCAGGAGGCUUGAGGGGAGCUGCUCCUAGUACGAGAGGACCGGAGUGGACGGACCUCUGGUGUACCGGUUGUCCCGCCAGGGGCACGCGCCGGGUAGCCAUGUCCGGACGGGAUAAGCGCUGAAAGCAUCUAAGCGCGAAGCCCACCCCAAGAUGAGGCCUCCCACGGCGUCAAGCCGGUAAGGCCCCAGGUAGACCACCUGGUUGAUAGGCCGGAGGUGUAAGGGCUGUGAGGCCUUGAGCUGACCGGUACUAAUCGGCCGAGGGCUUGAGGCC